rnacentral:lncRNA from 1 species
GAAUUGAUGCGAGGUAUUUUAGUUGACACUAUGAAUUAAUUUUAGGAAAAACUUCAAAUGUCAUUCAUGUAGUUUCGUGCUUUCUCACUUUAGUAUCCUGCGAUUUAAAGUAUAUCAUUUUAGAAUCCUGUGAUUUCGUUUUUCUCUUUUCAUUAUCCCAUCUGUUAGUUUUUCUAUUAUAUCAGUAAUAAAGUUAAAACUAUAGAAUACUAAAGUAAAAAUUCCGUAAACUAUAGAGUACUAAAGUGAAUAUUCAAUAAACCAUAAAUGGGUAUCUGAAGGUUUGGUAUAUGACUUAACAGAGAUGCCGACGGAAAGAAAAAAAUAAAUUACAGGAUACUAGAGUGAUAUAUUUUAAAUUAUAAGAUACUAAAGUGAAAAAGUGCGAAGUCACAAGAAUGAUAUUUGAAGUUUAUCCUUAAUUUUAUAAUUAUGUAUAUAGUUCAUAUGAUUGAAAUAACUCAACUUACACAC